rnacentral:rRNA from 1 species
AACGAACGCUGGCGGCGUGCCUAACACAUGCAAGUCGUACGAGAAAAUCCGCUUCGGCGGGUGAGUAGAGUGGCGCACGGGUGAGUAACGCGUGGAUAAUCUGCCUUUAAGCUGGGAAUAACUCACCGAAAGGUGGGCUAAUACCCGAUAAUGCUAUGUUGCUUCGGUAGUAUAGCCAAAGAGAGCCUCUGCAUGCAAGCCCUUACUUAGAGAUGAGUCCGCGUACCAUUAGCUAGUUGGUAGGGUAAUGGCCUACCAAGGCGACGAUGGUUAGCUGGUCUGAGAGGAUGAUCAGCCACACUGGAACUGAGACACGGUCCAGACUCCUACGGGAGGCAG